rnacentral:rRNA from 1 species
UACGGAGGAUGCGAGCGUUAUCCGGAUUUACUGGGUGUAAAGGGCGUGUAGCCGGGCUGACAAGUCAGAUGUGAAAUCCCGUGGCUCAACCACGGAACUGCAUUUGAAACUGUCGGUCUUGAGUAUCGGAGAGGCAGGCGGAAUUCCUAGUGUAGCGGUGAAAUGCGUAGAUAUUAGGAGGAACACCGGCGGCGAAGGCGGCCUGCUGGACCGUAACUGACGUUGAGGCUCGAAAGCGUGGGGAGCAAACAGG